rnacentral:rRNA from 1 species
UACGAAGGGAGCUAGCGUUGUUCGGAAUCACUGGGCGUAAAGCGCACGUAGGCGGCUCGUUUAGUCAGGGGUGAAAUCCCGGAGCUCAACUUCGGAACUGCCUUUGAUAUUGGCGAUCUCGAGUCCGAUAGAGGUGGGUGGAAUUCCUAGUGUAGAGGUGAAAUUCGUAGAUAUUAGGAAGAACACCGGUGGCGAAGGCGGCCCACUGGAUCGGUACUGACGCUGAGGUGCGAAAGCGUGGGGAGCAAACAGG